GACGAACGCUGGCGGCGCGCUUAACACAUGCAAGUCGAGCGAGAACCAGACCUUCGGGUCUGGGGACAGCGGCGAACGGGUGAGUAACACGUGGGUAAUCAACCCUCGGUACUGGGAUAGCCCGGGGAAACCCGGAUUAAUACCGGAUGGCCCUUCGGAUCUUCGGUUCGGAAGGAAAAGGUAGCUUCGGCCUCCGACCGAGGACGAGCCCGCGGCGGAUUAGCUUGUUGGUGGGGUAACGGCCUACCAAGGCGACGAUCCGUAGCUGGUCUGAGAGGACGAUCAGCCACACUGGGACUGAGACACGGCCCAGACUCCUACGGGAGGCAGCAGUGGGGAAUCUUGCGCUAAUGCGGGAAACCGUGACGCAGCGACGCCGCGUGGGGGAAGAAGGCCUUCGGGUUGUAAAACUCUGUUGUUAGGGAAGAACAAGUGCUAGUUGAAUAAGCUGGCACCUUGACGGUACCUAACCAGAAAGCCACGGCUAACUACGUGCCAGCAGCCGCCGUAAUAC
rnacentral:rRNA from 1 species